UUGUACAGAACCUUUUCCAAAAGAUCUUGUUCCGAUAAUUAUAGCACGUUUAUUAUCACGCAAAGCUCCUGCCAUGAUUUCAGGGGCUGAUGCAGUUCCGCUGUUUAUAAGAACAACAAUAGGGAUUCCGUUUGUUAAGUCACCUUUUUUGGCGCUGAACUCUUUUGUAUUUUCUUCAGUUCUUCCUCUAGUAGAUACAAUUUUUCCUCCGUCAAGGAAUAUAUCUGAAGCAGAUAUAGCUUCUUCAAGUAAACCUCCUGGAUUAUUGCGUA
rnacentral:ncRNA from 1 species